CCUAGGGGUGGCAGCAGUGAGGAAUAUUGGUCAAUGGGCGCGAGCCUGAACCAGCCAAGUAGCGUGAAGGAUGAAUGCUCUACGGGUUGUAAACUUCUUUUAUAAAGGAAUCAAGUGAGGCUCGUGUGCCUUUUUGUAUGUACUUUAUGCAUAAGGAUCGGCUAACUCCGUCCCAGCAGCCGCGGUAAUACGGAGGAGGCGAGCGUUAUCCGGAUUUAGUGGGUUUAAAGGGAGCGUAGAUGGGUUGUUAAGUCAGUUGUGAAAGUUUGCGGCUCAACCGUAAAAUUGCAAUUGAUACUGGCAGCCGUGAGUACAAUUGAGGUAGGCGGAAUUCGUGGUGUAGCGGUGAAAUGCUUAGAUAUCACGAAGAACUCCGAUUGCGAAGGCAGCCUACUAAACUGCCACUGACAUUGAUGCUCGAAAGUGUGGGUAGCAAACAGGAUUAGAUACCCUAGUAGUC
rnacentral:rRNA from 1 species